GUUUGAACUAUUGCCCAAAACAGUUCUCACAAAAGAACAGAGAACUUCUGGGUAGUAAAAUAGUUCUUUAAAUUCAAAAAUUGGGUGAAGCUAACAACUGAGAAGCAGAUGGUAAUUGGCAGAUGUGCUCAAUGAUACGGAGAUUUAAGACUUUCAAGCCAAUAAAGAGGAAGGAAUACGAUAUCUAUUAUCUACACAUCACUGGUUACUCUACUUUCCAAUUUAUGUGCAGGGUGCAGGAAAGCAGUGAGGAGGCAUUCCCAUUGGCCAUUGGCUUUAGAAGAUCAUAUGGCCACUGAAUUUCCAAGAAUGAUAAAUGUAUAAAUAUUAAGAAAGUGUCGCUAUUGUGGUUUUGGAUGAAGGGUUCAUUUUGUGCGGGCUUAGCUUCACACACCAUGGUCGGUGAUACUGAUACUUCUUCUUGUAUCAUGUUAAGGAAGCGCUUGUCUGUUAUGCUCAUGCGUGUGAAGUUUCACUGAGGCAUUGGUUCUGCCUGCAAGUCCAGUCUCUACAAAGCUGUAAGUUUUCAUUUUCACUGUCAUGGCGACCAGUGACUUUGUUUCGCGGUUAUAUGAUUAUGAUAAUUGAAAAAUUCCGAUAUCAAAGCAUUAAUUAUACAUCGUCUUGUAUGUUUGGAUUGUGUGUGUGUUUUACGGGAUAUGUUUGUUGAUUAUCAGUUGAGAUUUCUGCUCAACAAAAUUCAAUUUCUUUUCUUCUCCUUUCUCAAUGAAAUUUUCUGCUACCAAAUAGAGUUUUCUGGGGAAAAAGCAGGGAGGAGUUGAACAGGGUGGUGAUAGGUGAAAUUAUGGAGUCAGGGCAUAACUAUACGGACAAUAGUAAAGAAAAUCAGCUCCUUUUCGCCAGCUUCAGAGGAGAUGCUGAUAUUGCUGUAACAAGUAAAUCCACCUGCUUUGGUUCGUUAAGCAGACAAAUCAAGAAUUCUUUGAAUGAGUUGCAAGAUUUUGCUGAGAAAGCAUGGGAAAUGGGUCGGUCUGAUCCCCGGAAAAUCAUAUUCGCAAUCAAGAUGGGACUGGCACUUGCGAUUGUAUCGCUGCUUAUAUUCUGGAAAGGACUUUACGAUAUUUCUCAGUACUCUAUCUGGGCAAUUCUAACAGUCAUUGUUAUGUUCGAAUACAGCAUAGGAGCGACCUUUAUAAAAGGAUUUAAUCGGCUAUUGGGUACACUGUUUGCUGGAAUGCUUGCCUGUUGCUUUGCUGAGCUAUCUUUGUUGUUUGGUAGAUGGGAGGAAGUUGUAAUUGUUAUCAGUAUUUUUAUUAUAGGAUUUUUUGCCUCCUAUCUGAAACUGUAUCCGACAAUGAAGCCUUACGAAUAUGGAUUUCGAGUGUUCUUGUUGACAUAUUGUAUGGUCAUGGUGUCUGGAUAUAGGACCAGGGAAUUUAUCCAUACAGCCAUUAUACGGUUUGUGCUUAUUGCACUGGGUGCUGGUGUCUGUUUGGCAAUAAAUAUAUGCAUUUAUCCUAUCUGGGCUGGCGAGGAUUUGCACAACUUGGUGGUAAAAAAUUUCAUGAAUGUGGCAACUUCUUUGGA
rnacentral:misc_RNA from 1 species